GCCCAGCUAGCGCAGUGGUCGAACGCUGCGCCACCAAGGCGGAGGUCACCGGUUCGAGUCCGGCGGUCGUCG